rnacentral:tRNA from 1 species
GCGCUGGUCGUAUAAUGGUUAUUAUUUCUGCCUUCCAUUGGCGCCUGAGGAUUAUGUAAUGCUUACGUAAUCACCUUGGUAGCAGAAGACAGGGGUUCGAUUCCCCUCCAGCGCA